rnacentral:rRNA from 1 species
AGUGAACGCUGGCGGUAGGCCUAACACAUGCAAGUCGAACGGCAGCACAGUAAGAGCUUGCUCUUACGGGUGGCGAGUGGCGGACGGGUGAGGAAUACAUCGGAAUCUACUUUUUCGUGGGGGAUAACGUAGGGAAACUUACGCUAAUACCGCAUACGACCUACGGGUGAAAGCAGGGGAUCUUCGGACCUUGCGCGAUUGAAUGAGCCGAUGUCGGAUUAGCUAGUUGGCGGGGUAAAGGCCCACCAAGGCGACGAUCCGUAGCUGGUCUGAGAGGAUGAUCAGACACACUGUAACUGAGAAACGGUCCAGACUCCGACGGGGAGCAACAGUGGGGAAUAUUAGGCAAUGGGGGCAAGCCUGAUCCAGCCAUACCGCGUGGGUGAAGAAGGCGUUCGGGUUGGAAAGCCCUUUUGUUGGGAAAGAAAAGCAGCAGGUUUAUACCCCGCGGUUCUGACGGUACCCAAAGAAUAAGCACCGGCUAACUUCGUG